UGUGUUCAGUAAUGUUGUCCGGAGUGAAACCAUACAGCUGCCCACCAUGUGGAGAAGUUUCCGUGACUAUGUUAUGACAGCGUAGAACGACAGGCCGGAGAGAAUUCUGACAAAGCUUCUGGUCAAAAUGAAUCUUUUACCUCGCACUGCAGAGGAAUUCAGCUCUGCAGAAUAUUGGGAGAAAUUCUUUAAGAAGCGCGGAGAGAAGGCCUUUGAGUGGUAUGGAGACUACAACAAACUCUGCGGCGUCCUGCACAAAUAUAUUAAAAUGCAAGAUCAGGUUUUGGUGGUUGGUUGUGGUAACUCAGAACUGAGUGAACAGCUCUAUGAUGUUGGCUUCAAACAUCUGACCAAUAUUGAUAUCAGUGAAACAGUGGUGACCCAGAUGAUCCAAAGAAAUGCUGAGCGCCGACCAGAUCUAAACUUCCAGCAGGUGGAUGCUACACAAACUCCAUAUGAUGCCGCCUCAUACCAGGCUGCUCUGGACAAAGGGACGUUAGAUGCUAUGGCAUCUGAAGAGGAAGGGAAUUUAGCUAAGAGAAUGCUCACAGAGGUAGGCCGUGUCCUGCGUGUGGGGGGUCGAUAUGUCUGCGUGACCCUGGCACAAGAGAGUGUGAUUCGGUUGGCAGUGGAACACUUUGUACAGCUGGGAUGGGCUGUGAGGCUUCAUUGUCUGCAGGAGGUAGACAGUGGAGUGGAGAAAGAUUCUUUUGCCCUGCCUGUCUUUGUUUUGGUCUGCACUAAAUUCCGUCAGCCAAUGCCCACACCUAUUCUGGAGAUGUGUCUUGGAGAAGAUGGCGCCCCAACGCGUCUCACUCAGGUUCCAGAGUUGUUGUCAGCUGUAAGGGAGCAGCAGGCGUACUCUGUGUUGAGAAAGAGGCUCCGCACUGAGUCAAAUCCCAACUCAAACCUGUCACUAACCCUUUGUCAUGCUAAAACAGGCCUUCCUAGAUACACGCUCACAAUACAAGACUGUUCUCCUAAAGCCAAGGUGCCGAGAUCAAACCAUUUUGCCAUAUUUAUUGUACCUCAAGGCAGUGAGACCAGUUGGCUCUACAGGUCCAACGAGGGACAAAAGCAGUUAGCAGCCAGUGCUAACUUUCGACGACUGGUUAUUGUGGCAAUGCACAGAAAUCAGGAGUACGCAGACAUGCAGGCUGUGCAGGAAGAGCUCUCUCCAAUGGUGAUGGAGCUGGCACCUCCUGGUAUGCCAGACAACCAGCAGGUCCCAUUUCUCUCAGUUGGAGGUGGUCUGGGCUGGCGAGAGGAGAUCAACAGAGGUGUGAGCCAGCUGAGUGGAGAGUACUGUGUCGAGAACGUCAAGGGAGAAGAUGGAGAAUUGUAUCGUCGACUUGUUUUUCUGUCGAAUUCCUCACUUGUCCAGUCAGAGAGCCGUCUCCUGUCCUCAAAUGCCACUGGAAGUCAAAAGAAAAAGAACAAAAAAAGGUCCAAGCCAGCAGCUCCUCCCUCAACAUCCACCUCCUCUAUGACGGUGGACAGCGGUUUCCUCUGCUGCUCUCAUCAUGAAGUCAUGGUGGCAGGCCUUGCCCUUCUCGGGCUGAACCGACCAGACAACAAGGAUAACCGAGUGUCGGUGCUGCUGGUGGGGCUUGGUGGAGGAGGCUUGCCUCAAUUUCUGCGAGACUUUGUCCCAAAUAUUUCUGUUGAGGUUGUGGAGUUGGAUCCUGUUGUGUUGGGAAUAGCGAAAGAUUGGUUUGGAUUUAGACCUGAUGAUCAGCUGACUGUCACUCUGGGGGACGGCCUUGAACGCAUCUGUGCCCUUGAGCAAAAAGGCACUUGUUUAUUUGAUGUUAUAAUAUUUGAUGCGGACAACAAAGACAGCACUGUGGGUAUGAGCUGUCCGCCUGCAGUCUUUGUGGAAGCAUCAAUCCUGCAGAAAGUCCGCAACCUAUUAACUCCAAGAGGUAUAUUCAUGCUGAAUCUUGUGUGUCGUGACUUGGUCUUGAAGAAAAGUGUGCUGGAUCGUCUACGUGCUGUGUUCCCCAGCAUCCUCUCUAGAAAAAUCGAAGAAGAGGUCAACGAAGUCCUGCUCUGCACUUGUGGGGAAAAGAAACCAUCGGAGGCAGCGCGCAUCCUCCCGGCCCUGAACCAAUCAGCCAAAGAUCUACAGAGCACACUGUCCAGUACCGUCUCACUCGUCUCACCUGUGGCCUGGGUACAGAGACCUCUCUCCUUCACUCAGUCUUUGGGUGUUUGGCUCGGCCCUUGUUCCUGUUGUUCCAGGUCACUGUGAUUAUGGCCGCUGUUCUUCUCUGAGUACUUCUCUGUUCCUGCCUGACCCUGCUGUCUAGCAAUGAUGAGUGGACGGUGGAAUCGUUGGCUCUACAGUGCACGUCAUUCUGCCCAUGCAAUUAAACAAGGUUCACCAACAACUACACCAACGUGUCCCGGGCCUAUUGUCACUGCGGGGAAAAAGGCAAGUGGUUUCCUUUCACUGCUUAUUUAACGAGAAUGCUAAUGUGUUUUGUCAGAAUCUGGUUUGUUUUAAAUAUCACCACAUGUAUUCUGAAGUAAAGUCUGCUCCCACUGUUUUAUUUGGUCUCAGCCCCUCUGUGUUCUGAC